rnacentral:rRNA from 1 species
UACGGAGGGUGCAAGCGUUAUCCGGAUUCACUGGGUUUAAAGGGUGCGUAGGUGGGCUAGUAAGUCCGUGGUGAAAUCCCCGAGCUUAACUUGGGAACUGCCAUUGAUACUAUUGAUCUUGAAUACCGUGGAGGUCAGCGGAAUAUGUCAUGUAGCGGUGAAAUGCUUAGAUAUGACAUAGAACACCAAUUGCGAAGGCAGCUGGCUACGCGAAUAUUGACACUGAUGCACGAAAGCGUGGGGAUCAAACAGG